UUUUUUAACUCGCUGUUGUGGCCUCAUUUUUCGAAGUACAGACAUGAAAAACACAUCAUUGUGUUCAUGAAGGACGGGGGAUUCGUACGAUGUUCUUAUUUUCAUUCUGGGACUUAAGGAAAUCACGCUAUGUGAAGAAGUUUAGAGCCUCUAAAUCCUCAGCAGUUCAGCUGCUUCUCAUUCAAACAGUAGGUCAGUGAUUUGCCUUUGAUCUCACAGCUGUUUAGGAUGCAGUCAUUAACGAGACACACACACACACACACACACACACACACACACACACACACAUUCUUGUACUUGUUGCAUUGUCAGGUCUACCUUGCAGUUCAGCUGCUUGUACACACAGUUAAUAUGUGUCUGCUUCGCCACCUAUCUCCACCCACAAACUUUGAGCUACAGAAACCAUUCUGGGCUUCUAAAAUUCAGCUCAUUGAAGAUAUUAUGGGGUGUUUUGAGGAUUGUGAUAAUAAAUUGUAUUAAUGUGUUUAGCAGAGUCUUGUGUUCUCACAAGCUCCUUAUCAGGAAUAGAUACAGAGGAUGAGUGUCAGGGCCUACUUGGAGUCCUGUUUCCUUAGCUUCAAGCCUUCUUUCUCCUGCUAUAGUUAUGCAUCCAAGGUCCCCAUGGCAACCAAUUAGUGCACCUGGAGACACACAGCUGACUGGAAAGCUGCUUCUAAUGGCCAUAUGAGACACAUGAAGCCAGGCUCAGCACACAUAGCACUGGGGAUGACACUUAAAACCCUUUACUAGAGCGCUUGAAAAAACUUCAGCCCCUAUCUCCUCACAUGACCUUUGACCUACAGAAACCAUUCAGGGCUUUAAAAUUUGAGCUCAUUGAGGACAUUAGGGGGUGUAUUUAGGAUUUAUAUACAUUUAGAUUUUUCACAUUUUAAAGUCACUCAGUGAUGAUUUAUCAUUUAAUUUUUCAAACUAAUUUGAACUCAUUCAAACUGAUUCAAACCUUUCUAAUACUUAAAAAAUUAAACUUAUGCCACUUCCCACCUUCCUGCCUUUUAAGGCUAUUUCCUUCUUCAUUCAAACUUUUUGCAAUUUUAGACAUUUUUCUAGCCUCUUUCAGCAUGAAUAAAAUUUCCUUUUAUAGAGCAUAUUCAUACUAUUUGUCCUUCAACCAAUUAAUCAAUUAUCCAACUUACAUUUCUUUCACACCCCUUCAACAGCUUUAACAUUUAUACAUUUCUCCAUGUUUUAUUAGCAGUUUAGCAUUGCUUUUUCAGCUUUCAGCACUCAGCAUUUCCACGCAUUUUCUGCAAGGAAAUGCAAUUUUUCUAGUUAAGUGGAAAUGCUGAUAGGCAUUUCCACUUAUUGUUAUUCUCCCGUUUCUUUAUUAUUAUUAUUAUUAUUAUUAUUAUUAUUCUUCCGCCGUUUUUCGUCCGCUUUCAACUCCUUCCCAGUUUGUGCGAUUUCAACCGUUCAAACUUUAAACUAUUCCACUCCUUCAGGACACGUUUGCUAUUACUUUUCACUUUUCUAACAUUUAUACUUUUUGUUUUUUUUAACUUUUUGUGCAAAAAUUUUAACAUUGAAGUCAAUGGGGAAAUCUUCCAAUUCUUCCUUUUAUUCUUCCACUUUCUAGACCUUAUAACUUCAGCAUACUUUCACCUAGAGACCUCAUUUUUGCUUUAAAAUGUUCAUUCACUUGUCGACUAUUACAGUUGUACUCAGUUUUUUUGAUAUCUCUUACAGUUUUUCCACAAUUUAGCUUUAAGCAACUUGUGGUUUUCAGCAAAUUUCAAGCUUUAUAAUGGGUGUGUAUUGGAGAGUUUAGAGUGAUGAUGUCAUCAGCUAGAGUGCAGACCUCGUCUCUGAUCGACAGAACCUCGCUCGAAUAUAUCGCUCCCACGCCCACAAAUCUCACUCCACUGACACAAAUAAUACAUCAAAAUGGAGGUAUAUGUGUCCUGCUUCUCACAAAAGAGGUUUCAAAUCAUUAAAUCGUACCCCUUGGCCAGCAGGUGACCAACUGUCCAAAGAAGGCGGAAAUCUCUCCCAUUGACCGUAAUGUUAAUUUUCUCCAAGAAAAUCCGGAUCAUCGCUCAGGCUCAGACUUUUUUAACUCGCUGUUGUGGCCUCUUUUUUCGAAGUACAGACAUGAAAAAGACAUCAUUGUGUUCAUGAAGGGCGGAGGAUUCGUACGAUGUUCUUAUUUUCAUUCUGUGACUUAAGGAAAUCACGCUAUGUGAAGAAGUUUAGAGCCUCUAAAUCCUCUGCAGUUCAGCUGCUUCUCAUUCAAACAGUAGGUCAGUGAUUUGCCUUUGAUCUCACAGCUGUUUAGGAUGCAGUCAUUAACGAGACACACACACACACACACACACACACACACAUUCUUGUACUUGUUGCUUUAUGAGGUCUACCUUGCAGUUCAGCUGCUUGUACACACAGUUAAUAUGUGUCUGCUUCGCCACCUAUCUCCACCCACAAACUUUGAGCUACAGAAACCAUUCUGGGCUUCUAAAAUUCAGCUCAUUGAAGAUAUUAUGGGGUGUUUUGAGGAUUGUGAUAAUAAAUUGUAUUAAUGUGUUUAGCAGAGUCUUGUGUUCUCACAAGCUCCUUAUCAGGAAUAGAUACAGAGGAUGAGCGUCAGGGCCUACUUGGAGUCCUGUUUCCUUAGCUUCAAGCCUUCUUUCUCCUGCUAUAGUUAUGCAUCCAAGGUCCCCAUGGCAACCAAUUAGUGCACCUGGAGACACACAGCUGACUGGAAAGCUGCUUCUAAUGGCCAUAUGAGACACAUGAAGCCAGGCUCAGCACACAUAGCACUGGGGAUGACACUUAAAACCCUUUACUACAGUGCUUGAAAAAACUUCAGCCCCUAUCUCCUCACAUGACCUUUGACCUACAGAAACCAUUCAGGGCUUUAAAAUUUGAGCUCAUUGAGGACAUUAUGGGGUGUAUUUAGGAUUUAUAUACAUUUAGAUUUUUCACAUUUUAAAGUCACUCAGUGAUGAUUUAUCAUUUAAUUUUUCAAACUAAUUUGAACUGAUUCAAACUGAUUCAAACCUUUCUAAUACUUAAAAAAUUAAACUUAUGCCACUUCCCACCUUCCUGCCUCUUAAGGCAAUUUCCUUCUUCAUUCAAACUUUGUGCAAUUUUAGACAUUUUUCUAGCCUCUUUCAGCAUGAAUAAAAUUUCUUUUUAUAGAGCAUAUUCAUACUAUUUGUCCUUCAACCAAUUAAUCAAUUAUCCAACUUACAUUUCUUUCACACCCCUUCAACAGCUUUAACAUUUAUACAUUUCUCCAUGUUUUAUUAGCAGUUUAGCAUUGCUUUUUCAGCUUUCAGCACUCAGCAUUUCCACGCAUUUUCUGCAAGGAAAUGCAAUUUUUCUAGUAUUAUACUUAACACUCUCCCCAUACGUUUCUUUGGACCGCUUCUCCUCCUUCAAACUUUGUCCGAUUUCAACCGUUCAAACUUUAAACGAUUCCACUCCUUUAGGACAUGAUGGCUAUUACUUUUCUCUUUUCUACCCUUUAUACUUUUUAUUAUUUUUCACUUUUUGUGCCAAACUUUUUUUCCCAUAGAAAUGAAUGGGGAAAUCUUUCAAUUCUUCCUGUUAUUCGUCCACCUUCUAAGCCUUAUAACUUCAGCAUACUUUCACCUAGAGACCUCAUUUUUGCUUUAAAAUGUUCAUUGUCUUGUCGACUAUUGAUAUUGUAUUAACCUUUUUGUGCUUUCUUUUACAGUUUUUCCACAAUUUAGCUUGAAGCAACUUGUGGUUUUCAGCAAAUUUCAGGCUUUAUAAUAGGGGUGUAUUGGAGAGUUUAGAGUGAUGAUUUGAAAAGCUAGAGUGCAGACCUCGUCUCUGAUCGACAGAACCUCGCUCGAAUAUAUCGCUCCCACGCCCACAACACUCACUCCACAGCCAUAAAUAAUACAUCAAAAUGGAGGUAUAUGUGUCCUGCUUCUCACAAAAGAGGUUUCAAAUCAUUAAAUCGUACCCCUUGGCCAGCAGGUGACCAACUGUCCAAGGAAGGCGGAAAUCUCUCCCAUUGACCGUAAUGUUAUUUUUCUCCAAGAAAAUCCGGAUCAUCGCUCAGGCUCAGACUUUUUUAACUCGCUGUUGUGGCCUCAUUUUUCGAAGUACAUACAUGAAAAACACAUCAUUGUGUUCAUGAAGGACGGACGAUUCGUACGAUGUUCUUAUUUUCAUUCUGGGACUUAAGGAAAUCACGCUAUGUGAAGAAGUUCACAGGCUGAAAUUCACAGCAGUUCAGCACCUCUCAGUCAAACAGUAGGUUAGUGAUUUGCCUUUGAUCUCACAGCUGUUUAGGAUGCAGUCAUUAACGAGACACACACACACACACGCACACACAUUCUUGUACUUGUUGCUUUUUGAGGUCCACCUUGCAGUUCAGCUGCUUGUACACACAGUUAAUAUGUGUCUGCUUCACCACCUAUCUCCACCCACAAACUUUGAGCUACAGAAACCAUUCUGGGCUUCAAAAAUUCAGCUCAUUGAAGAUAUUAUGGGGUGUUUUCAGGAUUGUGAUAAUAAAUUGUAUUAAUGUGUUCAGCAGAGUCUUGUGUUCUCACAAGCUCCUUAUGAAUAUAUACAGAGGGUGAGCGUCAGGGCCUACUUGGAGUCCUGUUUCUUUAGCUUCAAGCCUUCUUUCUCCUGCUAUAGUUAUGCAUCCAAGGUCCCCAUGGCAACCAAUUUGUGCACCUGGAGACACACAGCUGACUGGAAAGCUGCUUCUAGUGGCCAUAUGAGACACAUGAAGCCAGGCUCAGUACACAUAGCAAUUGGGAUGACACUUAAAACCCUUUCCUAGAGCGUUGGAAAAAACUUCAGCCCCUAUCUCCUCACAUGACCUUUGACCUACAGAAACCAUUCAGGGCUUUGAAAUUUAAGCUCAUUGAGGACAUUAUUGGGUGUAUUUAGAAUUGUUAUUCAUUUAAAUUUUUCACAUUUUAAAGUCACUCAGUGAUGAUUUAUCAUUUAAUUUUUCAAACUAAUUUAAACUCAUUCAAACUGAUUCAAACCUUUCUAAUACUUCAAAACUUUCUGAUACUUGAGGACUUUUGAUAAUUUAAAAUUUCCCUGUUUUAAAUUAGUUUUAAUAUUUAUGCAUUACUCCAUCAUUCAAACAAAAUCCUACCUCAAGUACGACAACUACUGCUAAUGUCAAUUAAACUAGAACUUUCCCCUCUACUUCAACUGCUAUUGCUCCUAUUUCUACUUUCUUUACUACUUUGACUUAUACUUCUUUUAUUCUCAAUCUACUUCUACUGCUGACAUGACUACUAGUAUCACGACUUGACUUCUUAUCAUACUACUUCUAGUACUACAAUUUAAACUUAUGCCACUUCUCACCUUCCUGCCUUUUAAGGCAAUUUCCUUCUUCAUUCAAACUUUGUGCAAUUUUCGACAUUUUUCUAGCCUCUUUCAGCAUGAAUAAAAUUUCCUUUUAUAGAGCAUAUUCAUACUAUUUGUCCUUCAACCAAUUAAGUAGUUAUCCAACUUAUUUUUCUUUUUCAUUCCUUCAACAGCUUUAACAUUUAUACCUUUCUCCAUGUUUUAUUAGCAGUUUAGCAUUGCUUUUUCAGCUUUCAGCACUCAGCAUUUCCACGCAUUUUCUGCAAGGAAAUGCAAUUUUUCUAGUUAUUAUUAUUAUUAUUAUUAUUAUUAUUCUUCCGCCGUUUUUCGUCCGCUUUCAACUCCUUCCCAGUUUGUGCGAUUUCAACCGUUCAAACUUUAAACUAUUCCACUCCUUCAGGACACGUUUGCUAUUACUUUUCACUUUUCUAACAUUUAUACUUUUUGUUUUUUUUUACUUUUUGUGCAAAAAUUUUAACAUUGAAGUCAAUGGGGAAAUCUUCCAAUUCUUCCUUUUAUUCUUCCACCUUCUAGACCUUAUAACUUCAGCAUACUUUCACCUAGAGACCUCAUUUUUGCUUUAAAAUGUUCAUAUACUUGUCGACUAUUAUAGUUGUACUCAGUUUUUUGAUAUCUCUUACAGUUUUUCCACAAUUUAGCUUUAAGCAACUUGUGGUUUUCAGCAAAUUUCAAGCUUUAUAAUGGGUGUGUAUUGGAGAGUUUAGAGUGAUGAUGUCAUCAGCUAGAGUGCAGACCUCGUCUCUGAUCGACAGAACCUCGCUCGAAUAUAUCGCUCCCACGCCCACAAAUCUCACUCCACUGACACAAAUAAUACAUCAAAAUGGAGGUAUAUGUGUCCUGCUUCUCACAAAAGAGGUUUCAAAUCAUUAAAUCCUACCCCUUGGCCAGCAGGUGACCAACUGUCCAAAAAAGGCGGAAAUCUCUCCCAUUGACCAUAAUGUUAUUUUUCUCCAAGAAAAUCCGGAUCAUCGCUCAGGCUCAGACUUUUUUAACUCGCUGUUGUGGCCUCAUUUUUCGAAGUACAGACAUGAAAAAGACAUCAUUGUGUUCAUGAAGGGCGGAGGAUUCGUACAAUGUUCUUAUUUUCAUUCUGUGACUUAAGGAAAACACGCUAUGUGAAGAAGUUUAGAGCCUCUAAAUCCUCUGCAGUUCAGCUGCUUCUCAUUCAAACAGUAGGUCAGUGAUUUGCCUUUGAUCUCACAGCUGUUUAGGAUGCAGUCAUUAACGAGACACACACACACACACACAUUCUUGUACUUGUUGCUUUAUGAGGUCUACCUUGCAGUUCAGCUGCUUGUACACACAGUUAAUAUGUGUCUGCUUCGCCACCUAUCUCCACCCACAAACUUAGAGCUACAGAAACCAUUCUGGGCUUCUAAAAUUCAGCUCAUUGAAGAUAUUAUGGGGUGUUUUGAGGAUUGUGAUAAUAAAUUGUAUUAAUGUGUUUAGCAGAGUCUUGUGUUCUCACAAGCUCCUUAUCAGGAAUAGAUACAGAGGAUGAGCGUCAGGGCCUACUUGGAGUCCUGUUUCCUUAGCUUCAAGCCUUCUUUCUCCUGCUAUAGUUAUGCAUCCAAGGUCCCCAUGGCAACCAAUUAGUGCACCUGGAGACACACAGCUGACUGGAAAGCUGCUUCUAAUGGCCAUAUGAGACACAUGAAGCCAGGCUCAGCACACAUAGCACUGGGGAUGACACUUAAAACCCUUUACUAGAGCGCUUGAAAAAACUUCAGCCCCUAUCUCCUCACAUGACCUUUGACCUACAGAAACCAUUCAGGGCUUUAAAAUUUGAGCUCAUUGAGGACAUUAGGGGGUGUAUUUAGGAUUUAUAUACAUUUAGAUUUUUCACAUUUUAAAGUCACUCAGUGAUGAUUUAUCAUUUAAUUUUUCAAACUAAUUUGAACUGAUUCAAACUGAUUCAAACCUUUCUAAUACUUAAAAAAUUAAACUUAUGCCACUUCUCACCUUCCUGCCUUUUAAGGCAAUUUCCUUCUUCAUUCAAACUUUGUGCAAUUUUCGACAUUUUUCUAGCCUCUUUCAGCAUGAAUAAAAUUUCCUUUUAUAGAGCAUAUUCAUACUAUUUGUCCUUCAACCAAUUAAUCAAUUAUCCAACUUAUAUUUCUGUUCACCCCUUCAACAGCUUUAACAUUUAUACCUUUCUCCAUGUUUUAUUAGCAGUUUAGCAUUGCUUUUUCAGCUUUCAGCACUCAGCAUUUCCACGCAUUUUCUGCAAGGAAAUGCAAUUUUUCUAGUUAAGUGGAAAUGCUGAUUAAGCAUUUCCACUUAUUGUUAUUCUCCUGUUUCUUUAUUAAACUUAUUAAGUGGAAAUGCUGAUUAAGCAUUUCCACUUAUUGUUAUUCUCCUGUUUCUUUAUUAAACUUAUUAUUAUUCUUCCGUCCCUUUUUUGCAACGCUUCUCCUCCUUCAAACUUUGUCCGAUUUCAACCAUUCAAACUUUAAACUAUUCCACUCCUUCAGGACAUUAUGGCUAUUACUUUUUUCUUUUCUACCCCUUAUACUUUUUGAUAUUUUUGACUUUUUGUGCAAAAAAUUUUCCCAUUAAAAUGAAUGGGGAAAUCUUCAAAUUCUACCUUUUACUCCUCCACCUUCUCAGCCUUAUAACUUCAGCGUACUUUCACCUACAGACCUAAUUUUUGCUUUAAAAUGUUCACAAUCUUCUCCUCCAAAUAUGCUGUAUUGACUUUUUUGUGCUAUCUCCUACAGUUUUUCCACAAUUUAGCUUUAAGCAACUUGUGGUUUUCAGCAAAUUUCAAGCUUUAUAAUGGGUGUGUAUUGGAGAGUUUAGAGUGAUGAUGUCAUCAGCUAGAGUGCAGACCCCGUCUCUGAUCGACAGAACCUCGCUCGAAUAUAUCGCUCCCACGCCCACAAAUCUCACUCCACAGCCAUAAAUAAUACAUCAAAAUGGAGGUAUAUGUGUCCUGCUUCUCACAAAAGAGGUUUCAAAUCAUUAAAUCGUACCCCUUGGCCAGCAGGUGACCAACUGUCCAAGGAAGGCGGAAAUCUCUCCCAUUGACCAUAAUGUUAUUUUUCUCCAAGAAAAUCCGGAUCAUCGCUCAGGCUCAGACUUUUUUAACUCGCUGUUGUGGCCUCUUUUUUCGAAGUACAGACAUGAAAAAGACAUCAUUGUGUUCAUGAAGGGCGGAGGAUUCGUACGAUGUUCUUAUUUUCAUUCUGUGACUUAAGGAAAUCACGCUAUGUGAAGAAGUUUAGAGCCUCUAAAUCCUCUGCAGUUCAGCUGCUUCUCAUUCAAACAGUAGGUCAGUGAUUUGCCUUUGAUCUCACAGCUGUUUAGGAUGCAGUCAUUAAUGAGACAAACGCACACACACACACAUUCUUGUACUUGUUGCUUUGUCAGGUCUACCUUGCAGUUCACCUGCUUGUACACACAGUUAAUAUGUGUCUGCUUCGCCACCUAUCUCCACCCACAAACUUUGAGCUACAGAAACCAUUCUGGGCUUCAAAAAUUCAGCUCAUUGAAGAUAUUAUGGGGUGUUUUGAGGAUUGUGAUAAUAAAUUGUAUUAAUGUGUUCAGCAGAGUCUUGUGUUCUCACAAGCUCCUUAUGAAUAUAUACAGAGGGUGAGCGUCAGGGCCUACUUGGAGUCCUGUUUCUUUAGCUUCAAGCCUUCUUUCUCCUGCUAUAGUUAUGCAUCCAAGGUCCCCAUGGCAACCAAUUUGUGCACCUGGAGACACACAGCUGACUGGAAAGCUGCUUCUAGUGGCCAUAUGAGACACAUGAAGCCAGGCUCAGUACACAUAGCAAUUGGGAUGACACUUAAAACCCUUUCCUAGAGCGUUGGAAAAAACUUCAGCCCCUAUCUCCUCACAUGACCUUUGACCUACAGAAACCAUUCAGGGCUUUGAAAUUUAAGCUCAUUGAGGACAUUAUUGGGUGUAUUUAGGAUUGUUAUUCAUUUAAAUUUUUCACAUUUUAAAAGUCACUCAGUGAUGAUUUAUCAUUUAAUUUUUCAAACUAAUUUAAACUCAUUCAAACUGAUUCAAACCUUUCUAAUACUUCAAAACUUUCUGAUACUUGAGGACUUUUGAUAAUUUAAAUUUUCCCUGUUUUAAAUUAGUUUUAAUAUUUAUGCAUUACUCCAUCAUUCAAACAAAAUCCUACCUCAAGUACGACAACUACUGCUAAUGUCAAUUAAACUAGAACUUUCCCCUCUACUUCAACUGCUAUUGCUCCUAUUUCUACUUUCUUUACUACUUUGACUUAUACUUCUUUUAUUCUCAAUCUACUUCUACUGCUGACAUGACUACUAGUAUCACGACUUGACUUCUUAUCAUACUACUUCUAGUACUACAACUGAAUCUUAUGCCACUUCUCACCUUCCUGCCUUUUAAGGCAAUUUCCUUCUUCAUUCAAACUUUGUGCAAUUUUCGACAUUUUUCUAGCCUCUUUCAGCAUGAAUAAAAUUUCCUUUUAUAGAGCAUAUUCAUACUAUUUGUCCUUCAACCAAUUAAUCAAUUAUCCAACUUAUAUUUCUGUUCACCCCUUCAACAGCUUUAACAUUUAUACCUUUCUCCAUGUUUUAUUAGCAGUUUAGCAUUGCUUUUUCAGCUUUCAGCACUCAGCAUUUCCACGCAUUUUCUGCAAGGAAAUGCAAUUUUUCUAGUUAAGUGGAAAUGCUGAUUAAGCAUUUCCACUUAUUGUUAUUCUCCUGUUUCUUUAAUCUUAUUAUUAUUAUUCUUCCGCCGUUUUUUGUCACGCUUCUCCUCCUUCAAACUUUGUCCGAUUUCAACCAUUCAAACUUUAAACUAUUCCACUCCUUCAGGACAUGUGUGCUAUUACUUUUCACUUUUCUACCCUUUAUACUUUUUGAUUUUUUUAACUUUUUGUGCAAAAAUUUUAACAUUGAAGUCAAUGGGGAAAUCUUCCACUUCUUCCUUUUUUUCUUCCACCUUCUAGACCUUAUAACUUCAGCAUACUUUCACCUAGAGACCUCAUUUUUGCUUUAAAAUGUUCAUUCACUUGUCGACUAUUAUAGUUGUACUCAGUUUUUUGAUAUCUUUUACAGUUUUUCCACAAUUUAGCUUUAAGCAACUUGUGGUUUUCAGCAAAUUUCAAGCUUUAUAAUGGGUGUGUAUUGGAGAGUUUAGAGUGAUGAUGUCAUCAGCUAGAGUGCAGACCUCGUCUCUGAUCGACAGAACCUCGCUCGAAUAUAUCGCUCCCAUGCCCACAAAUCUCACUCCACUGACACAAAUAAUACAUCAAAAUGGAGGUAUAUGUGUCCUGCUUCUCACAAAAGAGGUUUCAAAUCAUUAAAUCGUACCCCUUGGCCAGCAGGUGACCAACUGUCCAAAAAAGGCGGAAAUCUCUCCCAUUGACUGUAAUGUUAUUUUUCUCCAAGAAAAUCCGGAUCAUCGCUCAAGCUCAGACUUUUUUAACUCGCUGUUGUGGCCUCAUUUUUCGAAGUACAGACAUGAAAAACACAUCAUUGUGUUCAUGAAGGACGGAGGAUUCGUACGAUGUUCUUAUUUUCAUUCUGGGACUUAAGGAAAUCACGCUAUGUGAAGAAGUUCACAGGCUGAAAUUCACUGCAGUUCAGCACCUCUCAGUCAAACAGUAGGUUAGUGAUUUGCCUUUGAUCUCACAGCUGUUUAGGAUGCAGUCAUUAACGACACACACACACACACGCACACACAUUCUUGUACUUGUUACUUUUUGAGGUCCACCUCGCAGUUCAGCUGCUUGUACACACAGUUAAUAUGUGUCUGCUUCACCACCUAUCUCCACCCACAAACUUUGAGCUACAGAAACCAUUCUGGGCUUCAAAAAUUCAGCUCAUUGAAGAUAUUAUGGGGUGUUUUGAGGAUUGUGAUAAUAAAUUGUAUUAAUGUGUUCAGCAGAGUCUUGUGUUCUCACAAGCUCCUUAUGAAUAUAUACAGAGGGUGAGCGUCAGGGCCUACUUGGAGUCCUGUUUCUUUAGCUUCAAGCCUUCUUUCUCCUGCUAUAGUUAUGCAUUCAAGGUCCCCAUGGCAACCAAUUUGUGCACCUGGAGACACACAGCUGACUGGAAAGCUGCUUCUAAUGGCCAUAUGAGACACAUGAAGCCAGGCUCAGUACACAUAGCACUGGGGAUGACACUUAAAACCCUUUCCUAGAGCGUUGGAAAAAACUUCAGCCCCUAUCUCCUCACAUGACCUUUGACCUACAGAAACCAUUCAGGGCUUUGAAAUUUAAGCUCAUUGAGGACAUUAUUGGGUGCAUUUAGGAUUGUUAUUCAUUUAAAUUUUUCACAUUUUAAAACUCAGUCAGUGAUGAUUUAUCAUUUAAUUUUUCAAACUAAUUUAAACUCAUUCAAACUGAUUCAAACCUUUCUAAUACUUCAAAACUUUCUGAUACUUGAGGACUUUUGAUAAUUUAAAAUUUCCCUGUUUUAAAUUAGUUUUAAUAUUUAUGCAUUACUCCAUCAUUCAAACAAAAUCCUACCUCAAGUACAACAACUACUGCUAAUGUAAAUUAAACUACAACUUUCCCCUCUACUUCAACUGCUAUUGCUCCUAUUUCUACUUUCUUUACUACUUUGACUUAUACUUCUUUUUUUCUCAAUCUACUUCUACUGCUGACAUGACUACUAGUAUCACGACUUGACUUCUUAUCAUACUACUUCUAGUACUACAAUUUAAACUUAUGCCACUUCUCACCUUCCUGCCUUUUAAGGCAAUUUCCUUCUUCAUUCAAACUUUGUGCAAUUUUAGACAUUUUUCUAGCCUCUUUCAGCAUGAAUAAAAUUUCCUUUUAUAGAGCAUAUUCAUACUAUUUGUCCUUCAACCAAUUAAUCAAUUAUCCAACUUAUAUUUCUGUUCACCCCUUCAACAGCUUUAACAUUUAUACCUUUCUCCAUGUUUUAUUAGCAGUUUAGCAUUGCUUUUUCAGCUUUCAGCACUCAGCAUUUCCACGCAUUUUCUGCAAGGAAAUGCAAUUUUUCUAGUUAUUAUUAUUCUUCCGUCCCUUUUUUGCAACGCUUCUCCUCCUUCAAACUUUGUCCGAUUUCAACCGUUCAAACUUUAAACUAUUCCACUCCUUCAGGACAUUAUGGCUAUUACUUUUCACUUUUCUACCCUUUAUACUUUUUGAUUUUUUUAACUUUUUGUGCAAAAAUUUUAACAUUGAAGUCAAUGGGGAAAUCUUCCACUUCUUCCUGUUAUUCGUCCACCUUCUAAGCCUUAUAACUUCAGCAUACUUUCACCUAGAGACCUCAUUUUUGCUUUAAAAUGUUCAUUGUCUUGUCGACUAUUGAUGUUGUGUUAACCUUUUUGUGCUAUCUUUUACAGUUUUUCCACAAUUUAGCUUUAAGCAACUUGUGGUUUUCAGCUAAUUUUCAGGCUUUAUAAUGGGUGUGUAUUGGAGAGUUUAGAGUGAGGAUUUGAAAAGCUAGAGUGCAGACCUCGUCUCUGAUCGACAGAACCUCGCUCGAAUAUAUCGCUCCCACGCCCACAAAUCUCACUCCACAGCCAUAAAAAAUACAUCAAAAUGGAGGUAUAUGUGUCCUGCUUCUCACAAAAGAGGUUUCAAAUCAUUAAAUCGUACCCCUUGGCCAGCAGGUGACCAACUGUCCAAAAAAGGCGGAAAUCUCUCCCAUUGACCAUAAUGUUAUUUUUCUCCAAGAAAAUCCUUAUCGUCACUCAGGCUCAGACUUUUUUAACUCGCUGUUGUGGCCAUAUUUUUUGGAGUACAGACAUGAAAAACACAUCAUUGUGUUCAUGAAGGGCGGAGGAUUCGUACGAUGUUCUUAUUUUCAUUCUGGGAUUUAAGGAAAUCGUGCUAUGUGAAGAAGUUCAGGGCCCUAAAUUCACUGCAGUUCAGCAGCUUCUCCAUUCAAACAAUAGGUCAGUGAUUUGCCUUUGAUCUCACAGCUGUUUAGGAUGCAAUCAUUAACGAGCUACACACACACUCAGCCAAUGUGUGUGCGUCAGCCUCCUUCUCUCUAUGAGACCUUCAAGUACACACAGUAAAUAUGUCCAUGCGUGAGUCUCUCUCUGUCUAUGAGACCUGAACACACUUUGACCAUGUGGCUGCUUCACCACCUAUCUUCUCUCACAAACUUCGAGAUACAGACACAUUUUGGGCUUCAGAAAUUCUGCUCAUUGAGGACAUUAUGGAGUCUACAGAGGAUUUCUAUUCAUUUAAAUUGUCCUUAAUUUAAAAUAACUCAUUAUUUGUGCAUUUUUCAAUUCUUCUAAUAAAUUUAAACUCACUCUUAUUCAAACCUCUCUGACUCUUCAAACCUUUCUAAUACUUUAGGAUUUUUUAUUAGUUAUAUUUUCCCCAUUUUAAAUCGUUUUUACUAUUCAUGCAUAUUUCAAUUCUUCAAACAAAAUCCCACUUCCACUUCUACAACUUCUACUUCAACUAGUCUUGCUACUAUUAGUACUAGAAAACAAUUAAAAUGAAUUGAUUGAACCACUGCCUUUCGGUCGUGUGAAGUAUGACAUGUCCGAGUGUCCCUGAACGCCUCAAACAUUUCUACCGUGACUCACUGGUGGCUCGCGCUAUCCUUCUCCGACCUCGACGAAGGUAAGUCAGAGCACAGGCGCUCUAACUUCUGAACACUUCAAACGGCGAUUUAACGUUUCAUAUGGCACUGGUUUUAGUUAUAAUCAAUGAAGAGUUCAUUCAUGAUUGAAGUGGUCGAUAUAUUGAGUUGAAAAAGCGUACGCUAACGCUGUUAGCGUCGAGUUAGCGCCGCUAGCGUCGAGCUAGCGCCGCUAGCGCCGCUAGCGUCGAGCUAGCGCCGUUAGCGCCGCUAGCGUCGAGCUAACGCUAAAGUCAACAUACCCUCAGCUGUGAGGCUGAAUCAUUAGCCAGCUGAGCACAAAAGAAAGUGAAUAUGUAAGCCGCUGCGGUACUAUAAAGUGGGCCAAAUGAUGUCCAGGCUGUGGAGUUUACUGACAAUGGGACUGACAAGAAUAGUCAUAUUGUCAAGUAUUAACUGACUAACUAGCUAACUAAUGACGCUAGCGGCAUUGCUACAGGUUCAGUUCAUUACUGUGACUUAGCCAUUGCUGGGGAACUGGUCUGGAGACGUCAGCUGUUCAGCUCCUGGUCACUUUUUAUCAGCCAUUGUGGAUGUAUUAAAAUAUAGGCUGCAUUUAGCAAGCAUCCAGGUACAGCACAAAUAUGAGUGGUUUUUUUUUUUAUGUGUCAGAAUGGACCUAGAUGGUCCUCUAUUAUUGAGGGUUUUAUUCAUGAUGGAGAUGAUAGAGAUAUUUACAUUGCAAAACAUAAAAUGAAUUCAGUAUUUAAUGUUUAACAAUAUGAAGUUCUAAUUAAUAAAUAUAUUCCAGUUGAAUUUCCCUUUAGGGAUCAAUAAAGUUCUUAUCUUAAUAUUGAGUUGAUGGAUGAAGAGUUAGCUGCCUUGAAGUUGGUGGACCUGCUCCUGGUCUGUCUCUGUCUUGUUGGCUGCUACUGAACUUCACCGUCUACUGUACCUAAUUUACCUUUGAUAACAAGCUGUUAAUUUGGAUAUUGGUGAUGUGCUAACACCACAGCAAAGAUACUUUAUCUGAGGUAUAUAUACUUUAAUACAGUAUGUAUUAUGUGUGACAUUUUCAGCUGCAGCUAACAGCCAGGUGAUCUGUUGGAGCUGUUUAGUUUUCAAUUAGCCGAACUACUGUAAUAAUGUUAGUUUUCUUUAUAGGCCUAUUGUUUUUAAUGUGCUAUCUGUCAGAAAACACUAAUGUAUUGUUUCUUGUCUCAAAUAGAAGAUACAUCCGCUCCAGUGCAUUUGUUGGUAAGUAUAAGUGUUUUGACCAAGACUGACAACAAACAAAAUAAAAAUAACCGGAUUAAUGAUUAGCUUAAUCCUGUUUAACAACAUGUCAUUCAAGAUAAUGUACAACAUAUGAUGCAUUUUUCAAAUACUGAGUUUAAAUUGAUAUGAAAUGUUGAUUUAUCUGUAACACUGUUGUAUAUGCUAUAUGAAAAUCAUAGAUGGGAUACAGUUUUUUCCUAGUAGACAACAGUGAGCUAACAAUAUUACUAUACUACUAAAUUCAUUUAUUUUAAACAUUUUAACUUGAUGGGAAAGUCUGAAUCUAAAUUUUGACAAUAAUUAAGUGGGAAAAUCAUUCAGAUAAUUACUAUUACUUUGAUAAUAAUCAUUACUUUGAAUGAAGUGAGCUGUGAGGGCGUCUCUUUUGAGUGUAAUAAAAAACUCUUUUCUUCCCUCUCCCCCUCCUCCUGCAUCAUCUUGUCCUCUGACCUGUGUGAAAUUCCCUACCAACUCUGAAGUGUAAGUUCACACUUGUAUAUACUUAUUAAGCAAUCAAUUAAAUGUUACAUUUUUCUCUGCAGUUUAUAAUGACAUUUCAGUGUUGCGUAUUUCACCUCAAUUACAUAAGAAAUUAAAAAGUAAAGCGGUCCUUCAUUGUGUUUGUGCAUUUCUCUCCAUUUUAACAAACAUUUUUACAAGCUAAGAGAGCAACUAAAUUUUAUUUUUUUGUCCCUCUGUCUUUUCCCUUCUCUGAACUCCUCAACGCUAUCUCUGCUGCGGGCCCUACUCACUGUUGGCGAUUCAGCUGUAAGUUCACAAAUAAAGUAACACUGACACUUUUUACAACACAUCAUGUAAAAACCUGACACUAUGUCCUUAUUUGACAAACUGCAGCACAUUCUCAUUGUAACACAAACCAUUUAAAAAAACACUUUAUUUAAACUAAAGCAGAACCAAAUAGAAAUAAUUUUGCAGGCUGAUUACAAUUGAAACGACAAUGCAGUGAGAUGUGCUGGUUUUGUACAACUAAACUAAAAAUCUCUUGUCUCUUUUUUUCCAUUUUCCUUCUUGCCAACUCUAUCCUGUCUCCAAGUGCAGACCGUUUUGUGGCGACUCGACGUAAGUUCACACAGGAAUGACAUUUUCAUGAAUAACGCAGGGUGCCUUUAUUCAAUACACCCCUCAUCAUGUCCAAACUUUUUUUUUUUCCCCUUUGAUAAUGUAAUAUUCACAGUUGGAAAUGAACAGGUUAAAUGUGAUAUACAAUACACUUAUUUGCAUUUUAUUUCCAAUCAUUGGAAAGCAAUUUGUUACUAUUAAAUUGUGGAGUUCAUCAUGAAAAUCCAAAUAAUUACUAAUUGAAUGUGAUUACCUCCUUUGUGCAGCUCUUUAUAUUAGAAAAAAAAUCUAAUUUAAUGUUCCUUAAUAUGGAAUAGACAAUCACUAUCUAUGCCGCCAUUGAUUUAUUUUAUUAUUCAUUUAAUCCUAUGUUUAGAAAUGUGUAUAUCCUUCUAAGGUACUUUGCAUGCUUCUGUUUACAGCUUACGGAGCUGCUUGGCCUCAUAACUUAUUACAUUGUAGGAAUACUUAAAACACGGUAAAGGAAAUAACAUUUUCCAAAACACAUCAUAUUUUAUCAGCAGAGUAAUCCAUUGUUGUUACUGCUUACCAGGACAUGGUUAUAAACAUUAUAGAGGGAACUUAAAAUAAAGAGUCUAAAAUGCGCAGGGAUAAUAGAAACUUUUGUAAAAUACUUUGAGGUCCUAAAUUUAAAUUUAUGGUUCUGUGGUUGGAUUCAAGUUGGACUCGCUGGAGGAUGUGGUGGAGAGAUGUACUGUUAGGAAGGUGGAGGCUAUUCAAAAGAAUUUGGCUCACCCACUUCACAACACCUUGGUGGACCGAAAGGCCUAUGGUGGUGGACGGCUCCUCUCUCUGCUGCAGGACAGAAAGACUCAUAAGAUCUUUUGUACCCACAGCCAUCAGACUCUACAAUUUAAAUAGUAGAUGACUUUUUGAGACAUGACAAGUGAGACUACAGACAAUUGAAUUUCCCUUAGGGGAUAAAUAAAGUUCUUUGUAUCUUAAAUACAUUUUCAGUUAUCUCUUAUGAACACUGUAUUUUUAGUCAUUAAUUUGAUUGAAGGGUUAUCGAACAAGACAAUGGUCACUUCCAGCUUUUGACUCAACUUGACUUUUGAUAGAUGUAUAGUUGAGGACAGCCACUUGGUGGAUUGAGUAAAAGUACAUUAUAAUCUCACUAGCUUUGGGUGGAUGUUGGAUCAUUUAAUUUUGUCUUUAAUAAAAAAAGAUUAAUGUUUUUUUCCAUUGUGUCUUACAGGUAUCCUGUCCAGUCUCCCCACUCUCCCCUAUCAUUUUGGUCCCUCUGACUUUCCUGUCUCCUCUACCACUCUUUCUGAUUGAAAAGCCACUCUGCCUUUCUAUCCCCCUUCUAUCCCACUCUGGCUACUAAUACAAUCCUUGAACAAAUCUUUGAUACCAUUGAAACAAAUCUUUGAGACCCUUUGCAAUAAAUCUUUGAGACCUUUUGCAACAAAUCAUUUGAGACCCUUUUGCAACAAAUCAUUUGAGACCCCUUUGCAACAAAUCAUUUGAGACCCCUUUGCAAUAAAUCUUUUUGAGACCUAUUUUAACAAGCCACCUUUUUUGAGAAACCUUUGUAAACAAUCAACCCUUUUUUUGAGAAACCGAACUUCUGAAAAGCUGUACAUUUAAUACAACCACUGUAUUGGAAAAAGCCCUAAUUUUGCAAAAGUCUCAUUGUUGUUCUAGGUUUUCCUUUCCUGUCUGUGGAUCCAGAGUUUCACCAGAAGAAGUGUCAUCAGCACCACCAUAUCUGCGUCCCUGAUUUUGAAAGAAAAAAUAAACACGUUUCAUAUAGAAUAUUUGACUUGCAUAUUAUUUCAAGCACAAAGUUCAAAGAUUUACAAAUAGUUGCUGAUUUGUGUUUUUUUCUGAAAACAUUUAUAUAGCCUUGCCUAGGAUUUCCUUAGAAAACAUUUGAUAAACUAUUGUGGUAUACACACAGUUAUAAAUUAGAUAUUUUGGAGACUAUAAGAGCUGUUAAAUAACCUCCUCUCUUUAAGAAAUAAAGCGUUUUGUCUGUACUGGUGCUUGUCAUUAACUUUAAAUUGUUGAAUAAACACAUUGUUGUGUAAGGACAGCUACAAUGCCGAGAAAGAGUAAGAGGUCACAGGUUGCAAGCCAGCGCUGGCAGAGGUUUCAUGACAUUGACCAUGUGAGUACUGGACAAGCAGAUGGUAUUCCUCAGAGCAGUGGAGAGGUAAAGAGGUCUGAAGUAUCUGAUGCUGUGAAACAGGGAGGUCAAAGUGCGUCAUGUCAACCACAGGUAUCUUAUGCAGACGUGCUUAAGAGGAGACGUGUAAGUGAGUCACCUGCAGCAGGUCCUUCUAACUCUCAUCAGGUGAACUACAUAGCCCAAACUGAAAAGCCAUGCUCAACCCAGGUAUCACAUGCAGACACUGUUAAGAAGGGAAACCACAGUAAUUAUCAGUCUGUAUCAGGCUCUUCUCGGGUAAGAAAUGUUAACGCUGUUAGUCAGUCAGGUGAACAAAGCGUCUGUGCGUCACGCAGCCAAGCGUCUCUGAAAUACGGCCAAUCCAGAAACCAGCAGUGCACCUGUAACUCACUGACAUUUCUAGCAUUCCUGUAUGAGAAUGAACACAUCACCAGAGCAGACCUGGACCGUGUUUUGGAUAAAGGUGAUGUGAUGUACAGAGAAGUCAGAAAAACUGUUCGUGAUCACAGCCAUCUGACAACCGAUGAGCUCCCUGACCUGGUUCCUGCACGCAGACACACGCAGAUAUUUGACAAGUUACAGCUGUCUAGAUACGGUACGUUUGGAGAUCCGGAUCCCGGAGCUGUUGAUACCUUUCUGGACCUCGUUUCAGGACUGAGCUGCUUAUUAACAGAUGUGCAGUAUGCUUUGCUGCUAAUGACUUCGUUGUGCAUUGCAGUUUUCAGAACCAGAGAUGGCAGGUACGGUUUCUUUGACCCACAUGCUCGGACAGCUAACGGUUUGCCUCUGCUUAAGGCCACACCUACUCCUGGAACCGCUGUCAUGGUAACAUUCAGACGACUCAGUGACAUGAUUCACAGGCUCAUCAGGUAUCACCAUAUAUUGGGCACAGCAGGGUCCUGUCGCUAUGAGCUCAAGCCAGUUGUGUUUUGUGAUGUGAACCCAAGUGAUGCUAUCCCAGCCACAGAAAGUCCGUCCACAAGUCCCUCUGUCAAAACCACCGUGAUAGAUGAUUACACAAGUGCUCCACAGAUGAACACUGAUGUCCAUGAAAACUCUGAACAUGACAUGGAAAUUGAACCAGAACCACUGAUCGACUUCAGCCAGUGUUCUGUCACAUUAACUGGUCCUGAAUUUCUCACUCCAGAGAUUAACACUACUGUAAGUGAUGACACAUCACAGAAAGCCUCAACUUUGAUGGAAACUCAAGCUCAUCAACCAGGUCAGAUCAACAAUACUUCUGUCACAUUAGAGGAAACUCAACAGACAAAAUCAAAUUUGACACAACCAUUGAUAACGAUCCCCGUUGCUAGUGACAAAGUUAUCCAUGACAUCUCCACUAAACUGUCAAAAUUAAGCAAACAGCAAAAAAUGAAAUUUAAGAGGAGACUAAUGAGAUCUGGAAAGACAUCUGAAAAGAAAGAGAAUCAAAAAAGGAGAGAAAGAGAAAAGUAUGCUAAGAAUGAAACAUACAAAGCAAAGAAAAAGUCUUAUUCAAGUGAGAAAUAUUCUGUCAAUCCUGAAAUACAAACAAAGAAAAGACAAAAGAUCACAACUAAAUACAGAGAAAGCACAGACUUCAGACUGAAACAAAAAGAAUAUAUCACCAAAAAAUACAAAGAAAAUGUUGAAUUUAAAGGCAGACAAAAAGAAUAUAUCACAAGGAAAUACAGAGAAAAUGUUGAUUUUAAAGGCAGACAAAAAGAAUAUAUCACAAGAAAAUACAGAGAAAAUGUUGAUUUUAAAGGAAGACAAAAGUUAUAUUUCAGGAAAAAAUACAGAGAAAAUGUUGAUUUUAAAGGCAGACGAAAAGAAUAUUUCAGGAAAAAAUACUCAGAGGAUGUUGAUUUCCGCCAAAGACAGAGAUCCUACUUCAAUCAUCGAUAUUCAAAUGAUGAAACAUUCCAUCACCGACACAGACAACUGAUGAGACAAAUAAUGCGAGACAGGUAUAAGACAAAUCUUGCAUACAGGACUAUGCAUAAAAUGAGGUGUGCAUUGAAAAUAUCAAAGAAAUACAAACAGAUAAGUAGACAAACAUGUGAGACUGACAGAGAGAGUGAAAACCCACUUAUUGAAAGUGCCAUAAAUGAUUUCCGAUCACACAUUAAAGCUGGUCCCACCCAUGUUUGCACAGUUUGCCACAAAGCCUCAUUUCCAAACCAGGUGCAAAAGUGCAAGAGGUCCAACUAUGUGAAAAAUCCAAUCAUGGUUUCAGCUUGUCUCAAAGGUCAGUACGUCCAUGAUUGUAACGAUGACUACAGAAAUCAGUGCACUGUCCCUGAUGAGAGAAAGACUGAGUGGAUUUGUCACACCUGCCAUGACCAUCUGAAAAAUGGAUCCAUGCCCAAACUUGCCAUAGCAAACAACUUGGAGCUUGCUGACAUACCACCUGAGCUGUGUGACCUCAACAUACUGGAGAGACAUCUAAUAGCAAAGUGCAUAACAUUUGCCAAAAUCAUUCCUCUUCCCAAAGGCAGACAGAGAGCUAUACAUGGUAAUGUUGUAUGUGUUCCCUCUGAAGUCCAGGAAACAAUUCAGGCUCUACCCAGAUUGAGAAAUGAGUCUCAGGUGAUGAGAGUAAAACUGAAGAGACGUUUGAGUUACAGAGGUCACCAUCUGUUUCAGACUGUUACCUGGUCCAAGCUAGUGCAGGCUCUGCAUAAACUGAAAGAGACACACCCCCAGUAUGAAGACAUCACUAUUAGAGAUGAGGAGGAGUUAUGUGACCCCACACUUCCUGAUGAUGGUGAUGAGGAUGAGGAUGAGGAUGAUGGUAAUGAUAUUACAAUGAAUGAUGACGACUAUGAUGAUGAGGAUUUGAUGGAAAUUGAUAGAAUUGAGGCUGCUGCCAUGUAUGAGGCUGAAACUAAUGUUGAAAAUGAGGAUGAGCACACAGAGCUGUGUGAUAAAAGUCAGACCCAGGACAAUGAUGAUCAGACACAACAACAGGAUGCAGACAUAUCUAAUGGUGGUGUUGUUUUGGAGUCGUGCCUUCAGCCACGGGAUGUUUCUGAGGAGAUAUUGUGUUUCAGUGAGUCUACAUACUCAGUAGCUCCAGCAGAGAGAAACAAUCCAGUCAGUUUUUUCAAAACACCCAAACUAGAGGCCAUGGCGUUUCCUGUUCAGUUUCCCACUGGUGAGAAUACACUGGAUGAAAACAGACCAAUGAAACUAUCACCCAGUAGUUAUUUUAAAGCAAGGCUCUUUGGUGUUGAUGAUCGCUUUGCCAAAGAUACCAACUACCUGUUCUUUGCACAGUUUGUGACUGAAAUACACUUGGCUACCUCCAGCAUGUCAAUACAGUUACGCAAAGGCAAACCUUUGACCAGAGACGGACGUAAAAUAACAUCCAGAAUGUUGAGAGACAAAUACGAAGUGGAGAGACUGGUGAGAAACAGAGAUGCUAUCAGAUUUAUGCAGCCGCUCAGAGGAACACCAGCCUACUGGGACAAAACUACAAAAGAUCUGUUUGCUAUGAUCAGACAGUUGGGCAGUCCUACUUUCUUUGUCACAUUUUCUGCAGCAGAAAUGCGUUGGCCUGAGGUGAUUAUUGCAAUAAAAUUACAACAAGGUGAGGAGGUGAAUUUUGAAGAGCUCGACUGGUCCACAAAGUGUGACAUUCUGAGAAGCAAUCCUGUGACAACGAUGCGCAUGUUUGAUAAGCGUGUUGAAGCACUGUACAGAGAUCUGAUCAUGUCUCCUGCACAACCCCUGGGCAAAGUUUUUGACUUCUUUUGGCGUCUCGAGUUUCAGCACAGAGGAAGUCCUCAUAUACAUGGUCUUUUGUGGGUAGAAGGUGCACCUGUGUUUGAGAGAGACUCUGACAAAACUGUGUGUGACUUUGUGUCCAAACACAUCUCUGCUCAGCUCCCUGACCCAAACAAACAGCCUGAACUGUACAAAAAGGUCAAAGAAGUGCAAAUACACAGUAAGAACCACUCAAAGACAUGUUUCAAAAGUGCAAGUUCUGGAUGCCGAUUUGGAUUCCCAAAACCACCCUCCAGACAGACAAUGAUAACAAGACCUGUGGGUGAUGAUGAGGAGUCAGAGAGACUUAAGAGAGCCAAAGAGAAACUUGCACCACUGAAUCAGCUGCUGAAUGAGACACAAACUGAAUCCAUGAGUUUUCAACAGCUCCUGUCUGUCUGUGACUUAACCGCUGAUGAGUAUGAGAAACACAUGAAUGUGAUGAGUCAGUCCAGCAACAUCAUUCUGAAGCGUGAGCCAAAAGACUGCUGGGUAAACACCUACAACCCUCACCUGCUCAAAGCUUGGGAUGCAAACAUUGACGUGCAGUUCAUUCUCAGCUACUACAGUCUGAUCCAUUACAUAUGUACGUACAUGUGUAAAAGUGAGAACUCUGUGAGCCAGUACCUGCAAACACUCAUUCAGAACUCCGACAGAGAAUGUGUCAAUGAAUGUGAUGAAAUGAAAGCGGUCAUGCAGGCGUAUUCCAAAAAGCGAGAAGUAUCAGCACAAGAAGCUGUUGCCCGAGUGACUUCACUGAACAUGAAAAAGAGUUCACGCAGUGUGGUUUUUGUCCCAACUGAUGACAACCCAGUGAAAAUGAGUCUGCCUGUGUCAAGCCUUGACAACACUACACCAGACAGCUUGAAUGUGUGGAUGACAUCCUUAACAGACAAGUACAAAUCCAGACCUGAAUCACCAGAGUUUGAAGAGAUGUGCAUGGCUGAUUUUGCGUCUACCUGCAGACUGGUGUAUGGACAACAGACCAAGGGCAAGAAAGUGGUACCUUUGCUGAAUGAACUAGGCUUCAUACAGAGACGAGAAAGUGACAACGCUGCUGUCAUCAGGUAUCGCCGCAUAUCCAAAGAGAAAUACCCUGAGCAGUUUUACGGCACAUUGCUUAGACUGUAUCUUCCAUACAGAUCAGACGAUGAGCUGAAAAGACCAUAUUUUCCCACGUAUGAGUCAUUCUAUGAGAGAGGUGUGGUUCAGCUGCCGUAUUCUGACCGACCCCUGAGUGUGAAACUCAUCGUGAAAAGAAACAGAGAGAGAUAUGAAAAAAACAGUGAGGAAAUUGACUCUGCUCUCGAGGACUUUGAACAGAACAGAGGUGUGGUCGAUGAAUGGUGUAAUUUGGCACCUGAAUCUGAACUGGUGAGGUUGGAGUGUAUCGAUGAACUGGACGCCAGACAGUGUGAAAAUGUCCAAGAGGAUGUACCAGAUUACAGCAGACAAGCAAAUGCUGCUACAGAGGCCAGAGUCAUGAGAGAGCCCCCUACAAUCGAUCCCACACGGUUACGACAAAUGUAUCAGAGUCUGAACCAGAAACAGGCAUGUGUGUUCUAUGCAGUGAGAGACUGGUGCAUAAAACGAGUCUGUGGACCACAACCAGAGCAGUUUUUCUACUACAUCAAUGGUGGUGCUGGCACUGGAAAGUCACAUCUCAUUAAAUGCAUUCAUUCAGAAGCAUCAAAGAUUCUGAGAACACUACCUAGACGUGCUGAGGAAGCUGACAUCUCAAACCCGACUGUGCUGUUGACUGCUUUCACUGGAACUGCAGCCUUUAACAUCUCUGGAACAACACUGCACUCUCUCCUCAAGCUGCCCAGAAGUUUGAAACCUCCUUUUCAAGGUCUUGGGAACCAACUUGAUGAAAUCAGGUGUGAGCUUUUAAACGCUGAAAUCAUCAUCAUUGAUGAAAUCUCCAUGGUGUCGAAGCCUCUGUUUGCCUAUGUGGAUAUGAGACUGAAACAGAUUAAAGGUAGCCACAGACCCUUUGGAGGAAUGUCAGUCAUUGCUGUGGGAGACUUUUACCAGCUACCACCUGUGCGACAGUCCAAACCACUCUGUGUCUAUGAUCCAAGUGAGCUUGACCUCUGGAGAGACAACUUCCAGGUGAUCACUUUAGAUGAGAUCAUGCGACAGAAGGAUGACAAAACUUUUGCCGAGAUGCUGAACAGACUCCGUGUGAAAACAAGGUCAGAUGAGCUUUCUGAAGCUGACAGAGCUCUGCUGUCACAGCGUGUCACUGAACCACAACUGUGUCCCUCUGAUGUCCUGCACAUUUUUGCUACAAACAAACAAGUCGCAGCACACAACUCUGCUACAAUAUCUCUGCUCCAUUCUGAUAUCACCACCAUUGAUGCAGAUGACUUGAAAAAAGACCCACACACUGGACACAUGAAAAGACAAGGUGCACCAUGUCAUGGAAGCAGAAAUGAUCUACCUGACACCCUAGAUGUUGCAGUAGGUGCUAGAGUCAUGCUUACCAGAAACAUAGAUGUGUCUCAAGGAUUGGUGAACGGAUCAUUUGCUACAGUAGGCCGUCUCAUAAGCUCUGAAAACAACAGUUCUGCUCUUGUCACUAUGCUUGGUCUCAGGAUGGAUGAUGAAACAGCUGGCAGGAGCUAUCGUACUCGAGGAGACAAUCUUGUGUACAUCGAGAGAUCUGAGGAGGCUCUGCAACAGAAAGGAGUGGUACGCAGACAGUUUCCUGUGAAACUUGCCUUUGCAUGCACGAUACACAAGGUUCAAGGUAUGACCAGAAAAUCAACUGUUGUCUCUCUGAAG